ensembl:lncRNA
GUGUUUCUUUCCCCAAACAACGUGAGUGUAAAGACGUCUGCUGUAAAGUUUUCAGUGAAUGUGUUUAAGUAAGCACUGCCGGUGGGUGACCUUUGUUUGUGUAACUUGCUUGUGUAACAUGAAUGUCAGCGGGCUGUAACGAGUAGCUUCCUCAGAGUCAGGUAGGUGCCGUAUUGCUAGUUAGCUGAAAGCUACCGGUGGCGUUGGAAAUGUUUUCCAGAGUGAUUUUUGCGACGAGUCUGGUCAGAUUUAACACUGGUGCCAACUCCAGAGCGGCUAUAAGAGCACUGACUCCUCUGUGCAAACAUCAGCAUCGGUCCUACAGCUCUGAGUCUGCUGGUGUCAGGGUGCUGUAUGAUGGUCUUUGUCCUAUAUGUGUGACAGAGAUCCGGUUACUUCAGUUUCUGCAGAGAAGCCGGUCUGGAAAAGUACAAUUUAUCGAUAUCUCCCUGCCAGACUAUGAUGGAGCAAGAUACAAGGAUGUAACCUAUGAGAUGGCCAUGGAGGAAAUGCAUGUGAUUGAUGAGAAAGAUGAGGUUCACAAAGGGGUUCCUGCAUUUGCCGUCAUGUAUGGAGCAGUGGGCCUCGGCUGGUUGGGUUGCUUCAUGAUGUGGUCCCCUGUCAGGCCAUUAAUGGACAAAUCUUACGCCAUUUUUGCCAGGAACCGCCUGAAGUGGACUGGGCGUGGGGAGGAGUGUGCAACAGGACGCUGUGAAAAGAAAACACAGUGACUCUUAAGCCACCGAAAGAUUACGUAUGUUUAAUAAAUAAAGGGAUUAGGUUGUCUGUUUACUCAACACUUAAUUCAGCAAAACAAGUGUUUUAUUUUAAAUUUAGCAUAAAAUAUUUAAUUUAUAUUGCUAAAGACACAUAUUGCACUGAGAAAAAUCUACUCUGCUGUGUUAAUCUCUCUUAAAAUAUAACUGAACACUCCUAAAAAAAACUGAUAUUGCCCUUUUCCCAGGACUUUGUGAUCAGCAGUCCAGGCUUGUGCUCUCAUCAGCUUCGCUCGACAUUUCCUUCUCCUAGAAACAUUGGUAAGAUGACACAUAAUCACACAAAAAAACUGGAUAAAGGAAAAAGUUCCAACAAAUGUUGCUGCACAGUGAAAGGGCCUUCCUGUGAAAGACGGGGAGUAAUUGUAUAUUGUGUAAAAGACUGUCAUUUUGGCAAAUAUACAGCACAGAGAUAAGACAGAAAAUCGCUCAAGCAAAAUGCAGCCAAUUUCCUGUCAGUGUAUCAGAUGGAGGUUCAUAUCGAAGCCAGAUAGCUUCAUUCAAUCUGUCGUGUUGCUGCCACUAGAUGUCACUGUAAAACCAAAACUGGUGAAGUGUGGUGAUGUUUUGUGAUGGAUGCUGGUGGGAACAGAUAGUGACAAUCUUUAACUUCACAUGAGCCCCUGCUGUUAUGAGCAUCAACAAGACAGGCUCAUCAACAACACACAGCAGUGCCAAACAGCAUGUGCUGGUUUGUGCUCUAUGGUAGAGGACAGGGUGAUUUACAUACACUCACUGAAACAACUGUAAAUCACUGCAAUCAUUCAUGUUCAGAAAGCUAAAAAAAGAAAUACUGUUCCACAAGUAGAGGACAAAAAACAUUUAGGGGUUCUUUUUUUGGUUUGGAAUCAAUUUAUUAAUUAUAGGGCACACUUUUUCUGUUUUUUGUUUGGGACAAAAUGUAAAUAAACAAGCUGCAAUGAUGCAAAUCAACUGGUUUUAAUUAAGACUGUAUUUAGAACCUGCAUAUUUACAAAAAACG